rnacentral:rRNA from 1 species
UCCAGACUCCUACGGGAGGCAGCAGUGGGGAAUAUUGCACAAUGGGCGAAAGCCUGAUGCAGCAACGCCGCGUGAAGGAAGAAGGCCUUCGGGUCGUAAACUUCUGUCCUUGGGGAAGAAGAACUGGCGGUACCCAAGGAGGAAGCCCCGGCUAACUACGUGCCAGCAGCCGCGGUAAUACGUAGGGGGCAAGCGUUAUCCGGAUUUACUGGGUGUAAAGGGGGCGCAGACGGCGAUGCAAGCCAGGAGUGAAAGCCCGGGGCCCAACCCCGGGACUGCUCUUGGAACUGCGUGGCUGGAGUGCAGGAGGGGCAGGCGGAAUUCCUGGUGUAGCGGUGAAAUGCGUAGAUAUCAGGAGGAACACCGGUGGCGAAGGCGGCCUGCUGGACUGCAACUGACGUUGAGGCCCGAAAGCGUGGGGAGCAAACAGGAUUAGAUACCCCGGUAU